AACGAACGUUGGCGGCGUGGAUUAGGCAUGCAAGUCGAACGAGAACUAGCAAUGUAGCAAUACAGGGCUGGGGAAAGUGCCGAAAGGGGCAGUAAUGCAUGGGUAACCUACCCUGGGGACGUGGAUAGCUAUUCUAACGAGUAGGUAAUACACGGCGAUUUGGCCGAGGGGCAUCCCUUGACCAGGAAAUGAAUUUCGCCUCAGGAGGGGCUCAUGUCGUAUUAGCUUGUUGGCGGGGCAACGGCCCACCAAGGCUGAGAUGCGUAGCGGGUGUGAGAGCACGACCCGCGCCACUGGCACUGAGACACUGGCCAGACACCUACGGGUGGCUGCAGUCGAGGAUCUUCGGCAAUGAGCGCAAGCUUGACCGAGCGACGCCGCGUGUGUGACGAAGGCCUUCGGGUUGUAAAGCACUGUCGAGGGGGAGGAAAGCCGAAAGGUCUGACCUAUCCCUGGAGGAAGCACGGGCUAAGUUCGUGCCAGCCGCCGCCGUAA
rnacentral:rRNA from 1 species